ensembl:lncRNA
GCGGCUUCCCUCAGGUCCCAAGGGGCUUUGCAGGAAAAGAAGAGAAGCGAAAAUUUUUAUUGUCAUCACGCGCGUGACCUCUGAUCAGGGAGAGAGACGAAAAAAACAACAACCAGACAAACAGAGAGACUUCGACCACAACAGCGUCAGAGAGCGAGAGAGACGUGAUCGCCGCUCCGGUGAAGACGGUGCAGGUGAACGGCCGCCUGGGGACGAUUCAGAGCCGAUCCCUGGCUCUCUCCCAGCAGUGAGCCCCUCCAAGAGUGCCUGCGGAGCACCAUAAGACGCAGGGGGGGCAUGUCGAAUCCCACAGGCUAACAACUCCCCUGCUGACCGUACCACAACGUUAAUCCCGUUUGCCACAACGCCUCGGGGUCCGUCUUCUGUCGAGAGCUCAUGGCAUGAUGUUUUAAAAGCACCUUUCUGUGCUUUACUGGAAGAGAAACACUGUAAAGUUCACCUACAGCUUCACGAACUGGGGCCAUAGACUGACACUGCCAAAAAGGGCAGCUUUAGUCAGAUUUCGCUUUUGAGGUUAUUUAAUUUUGUUUGUUGUUAUUUUUUUACAUUGAAAUCUUUUUGUUUUUCCGUUUGAUAUCGCUUUCUGUAAAAUACGAAGUUGAAAGUAGGGAGGCUACUGGCGAUCAAACCAUUUAGGACGUCACACGGUGAAGGGAUUUCUUAAGCUGGAUGCACGUCUUUAUAUAUUUAAUAUUAAUUGAUAUACAUUUAUGUAUGUGAUUGCAUACUUCUAGAUCGUUUGAACACAACGCUAUAAUUUAACUUGAUCUAUUUCUUUGUCAUGUCCUUAACACGAUAAAAAAAGAAUUACCCUAAAUUGUUUACCUUUCAAAAACAUCGCCUUGAUUUCAAAAUGAUCGUUGCAACUGAUGCCGGUAUAAUUUACAGAGCUUGUGCCAUAAUAUAUUUCUAAGUAUAUAUGUCAUAUUUUUUACAGAUUUCUUUUUUUCUUUACAUUAUAUUUUCAGUUUGAGAUUUUAGUACUAUUUGACCACUUAUGCCUUUCUAGAAGCUGUGGAUUGCCUUAUUCUGUUGGAAGGCAGAGUUAUGUGUUAAUGUUUGCUAUAAAUAUUCCUAAAGCAGUGCAAUAAUAAAAAAAAUAUUAUAUCAUAUUCAAUAUUUAAAUAUAUACAUACUAUAUAUAUAAUAUUUAAUAUUUCUAUAUGUAUAUAUAUUUAAUCUUUCUAUAAUAUAUAUAUAUAUAUAUAUAAUAUUUCAUAUAUAAUGUUUAUAUAUUUCGGCAAUAUUGCCCAUAUUGCCAAGUAGUUUUAGCCAAGUUCGAAGCACCUCUUUCCCCCUGCUGGUGACAUGCGUGGGCCUCCUAGCUUGUUCUGUUCCUCCGUUCACUGCUGAUGUUGAAGUUUUUUCAGUUGUAUUUUUUGCCUGUAGAAAACGUUUAUUAAUUGAUGACGAGCAAGAUUAUGAAUUCCUUCUCUCAGAAAUCACCUAUACAGAAGUUAGGAAGUCUUUCUCUGCAAUGAACGUGCUUGAAGCAAUGGCAUCAGUCAAUGUCACCACACGAUUGAUAUGUCAACUGAUUUUGUUGAAUGAAUCGCAUAUAUUUCAAAAAUAUAUAUUUUGUUGACUUUCACUUUUUUGAGGAACAAUUUAACAUAUGAGGGACAAAUCUUGCAGGACCUAUAUUCAGGUCUGUAAGUAUAAUCUGCCACUCGUGGUCAAAUAUUUCACUCGCUUGCAGUCCAUUCAAUUAUACCUCUAUUUUUAAAAAGUGUAAUUUAUUUUCAGUUUAGAAGAAAUACUGAACAAGAAAUACGUUAAUUUUUGUUUGAAGAUGUUUUGAUUCUAUUUUCUUUCCUUCUGUCAUCUAUUUACAUGCUACUGAUGCUGCAGCCUAAUCAUAGUCUUGUAUAUUUUGUAAAGUACAGAGAGAGAUAGAUUCAAGUGGUUCUUUGACUGAAUGAUGGUCUUUGGAUUUAGGCUGACAAUUCUUCCUGGUAAAACAAAAAUUGGCACAGCUUUUAUUUUUGUCUAUGGAAAUUAUAAUUCAAUAAAAAAGUUUUGUAAUCAACAAAAAAUGUCA